rnacentral:rRNA from 1 species
AUUGAACGCUGGCGGCAGGCCUAACACAUGCAAGUCGAACGGUAACAGGGAACAGCUUGCUGUUUCGCUGACGAGUGGCGGACGGGUGAGUAAUGUCUGGGAAACUGCCUGAUGGAGGGGGAUAACUACUGGAAACGGUAGCUAAUACCGCAUAACGUCGCAAGACCAAAGAGGGGGACCUUCGGGCCUCUUGCCAUCGGAUGUGCCCAGAUGGGAUUAGCUAGUAGGUGGGGUAACGGCUCACCUAGGCGACGAUCCCUAGCUGGUCUGAGAGGAUGACCAGCCACACUGGAACUGAGACACGGUCCAGACUCCUACGGGAGGCAGCAGUGGGGAAUAUUGCACAAUGGGCGCAAGCCUGAUGCAGCCAUGCCGCGUGUAUGAAGAAGGCCUUCGGGUUGUAAAGUACUUUCAGCGGGGAGGAAGGGAGUAAAGUUAAUACCUUUACUCAUUGACGUUACCCGCAGAAGAAGCACCGGCUAACUCCGUG